rnacentral:rRNA from 1 species
GAUGAACGCUGACAGAAUGCUUAACACAUGCAAGUCAACUUGAACUUCGGUUUGGGUGGCGGACGGGUGAGUAACGCGUAAAGAACUUGCCUCACAGUUAGGGACAACAUUUGGAAACGAAUGCUAAUACCUGAUAUUAUGAUUUUAGGGCAUCCUAGAAUUAUGAAAGCUAUAUGCGCUGUGAGAGAGCUUUGCGUCCCAUUAGCUAGUUGGAGAGGUAACGGCUCACCAAGGCGAUGAUGGGUAGCCGGCCUGAGAGGGUGAACGGCCACAAGGGGACUGCGACACGGCCCUUACUCCUACGGGAGGCAGCAGUGGGGAAUAUUGGACAAUGGACCAAGAGUCUGAUCCAGCAAUUCUGUGUGCACGAUGAAGUUUUUCGGAAUGUAAAGUGCUUUCAGUUGGGAAGAAAAAAAUGACGAUACCAACAGAAGAAGUGACGGCUAAAUACGUG